rnacentral:rRNA from 1 species
UACAUGGGGUGCAAACGUUGCUCGGAAUUAUUGGGCGUAAAGCGCACGUAGGCGGUUCGUUAAGUCGGAUGUGAAAGCCCUCGGCUCAACUGAGGAAGUGCACCCGAAACUGGCGAGCUUGAGUACGAAAGAGGAUCGCGGAAUUCCCGGUGUAGAGGUGAAAUUCGUAGAUAUCGGGAGGAACACCGGUGGCGAAGGCGGUGGUCUGGGCCGGCACUGACGCUGAGGAGCGAAAAGCGUGGGGAGCGAACAGG